rnacentral:rRNA from 1 species
CGGAAGGAUCAUUACCGAGUUGAUUCGGGCUCCGGCCCGAUCCUCCCACCCUUUGUGUACCUACCUCUGUUGCUUUGGCGGGCCGCGGUCCUCCGCGGCCGCCCCCCUCCCCGGGGGGGUGGCCAGCGCCCGCCAGAGGACCAUCAAACUCCAGUCAGUAAACGAUGCAGUCUGAAAAACAUUUAAUAAACUAAAACUUUCAACAACGGAUCUCUUGGUUCUGGCAUCGAUGAAGAACGCAGCGAAAUGCGAUAAGUAAUGUGAAUUGCAGAAUUCAGUGAAUCAUCGAAUCUUUGAACGCACAUUGCGCCCUUUGGUAUUCCGAAGGGCAUGCCUGUUCGAGCGUCAUUACAACCCUCAAGCUCUGCUUGGUAUUGGGCACCGUCCUUUGCGGGCGCGCCUCAAAGACCUCGGCGGUGGCGUCUUGCCUCAAGCGUAGUAGAACAUACAUCUCGCUUCGGAGCGCAGGGCGUCGCCCGCCGGACGAACCUUCUGAACUUUUCUCAAGGUUGACCUCGGAUCAGGUAGGGAUACCCGCUGAACUUAAGCAUAU